AGCGAAUGGUUCAUUCUUUUUUACUGUGAACUGUUUUAAUUUUUCAGCGUCUGAGGAAUGUCUUUUAGCCAUAGGGAUAGGCUACUAGAAUGUUAACCGAGCUGAAAGUCAGGCUUAGGCCUGGUAUCCUAUUAAUUAUUUACCAAAAGAAUUCAGUAUUAUAAUUGUAACAUAAGCGUAAAAAACUUAUAAAACAACUUUUAACAACGGAUCUCUUGGUUCUCGCAUCGAUGAAGAACGUAGCAAAGUGCGAUAACUAGUGUGAAUUGCAUAUUCAGUGAAUCAUCGAGUCUUUGAACGCAACUUGCGCUCAAUGGUAUUCCAUUGAGCACGCCUGUUUCAGUAUCAAAAACACCCCACAUUCAUAAUUUUGUUGUGAAUGGAAUUGAGAGUUUCGGCUUUAUUGCUGAAUUCUUUAAAAUUAUUAGGCCUGAACUAUUGUUCUUUCUGCCUGAACAUUUUUUUAAUAUAAAGGAAUGCUCUAGUAAAAAGACUAUCUCUGGGGCCUCCCAAAUAAAUCAUUCUUAAAUUUGAUCUGAAAUCAGGCGGGAUUACCCGCUGAACUUAAGCAUAUCAAUA
rnacentral:rRNA from 1 species